rnacentral:misc_RNA from 1 species
UCCCCGUUCACCGGGGCAGUCCCCUCAGAGUGCCCGGCAUGACCCGGUAGCAACAAAGGGCAAGGGUUGCGCUCGUUGCGGGACUUAACCGGACAUCUUACGACACGAGCUGACGACAGCCAUGCAGCACCUAUCUCCACGUCCCCGAAGGGAAAGCCACAUCUCUGUGGAUGUCGUGGGAUGUUAAGGGUAGGUAAGGUUCUGCGCGUUGCUUCGAAUUAAACCACAUACUCCACCGCUUGUGCGGGCCCCCGUCAAUUCCUUUGAGUUUUAGCCUUGCGACCGUACUCCCCAGGCGGGGUACUUAACGCGUUAGCUUUGGUACUCAGGAGGUUAAUUUCCCAAACACCUAGUAUCCAUAGUUUACGGCGUGGACUAC